rnacentral:rRNA from 1 species
AACGAACGCUGGCGGCAUGCCUAACACAUGCAAGUCGAACGAGACCUUUGGGUCUAGUGGCGCACGGGUGCGUAACGCGUGGGAACCUGCCCUUAGGUUCGGAAUAACUCCCCGAAAGGGGUGCUAAUACCGGUUAAUGUCUUCGGACCAAAGAUUUAUCGCCUUUGGCUGGGCCCGCGUUGGAUUAGCUAGUUGGUAGGGUAAAAGCCUACCAAGGCGACGAUCCAUAGCUGGUCUGAGAGGAUGAUCAGCCACACUGGGACUGAGACACGGCCCAGACUCCUACGGGAGGCAGCAGUGGAGAAUAUUGGACAAUGGGCGAAAGCCUGAUCCAGCAAUGCCGCGUGAGAGAUGAAGGCCUUAGGGUUGUAAAGCUCUUUUACCCGGGAUGAUAAUGACAGUACCGGGAGAAUAAGCUCCGGCUAACUCCGUG